rnacentral:rRNA from 1 species
CAGUAGCCACGGUAAUACGGAGGGUGCAAGCGUUAAUCGGAAUUACUGGGCGUAAAGCGCACGCAGGCGGUUUGUUAAGUCAGAUGUGAAAUCCCCGAGCUUAACUUGGGAACUGCAUUUGAAACUGGCAAGCUAGAGUCUUGUAGAGGGGGGUAGAAUUCCAGGUGUAGCGGUGAAAUGCGUAGAGAUCUGGAGGAAUACCGGUGGCGAAGGCGGCCCCCUGGACAAAGACUGACGCUCAGGUGCGAAAGCGUGGGGAGCAAACAGGAUUAGAUACCCCGGUAGUCCCUGUCUCUUAUAA